CCUACGGGAGGCAGCAGUGGGGAAUAUUGCGCAAUGGGCGAAAGCCUGACGCAGCGACGCCGCGUGAGGGAUGAAGGCCUUCGGGUUGUAAACCUCUUUCAGCAGGGACGAAAACAGACGGUACCUGCAGAAGAAGCACCGGCCAACUACGUGCCAGCAGCCGCGGUAAUACGUAGGGUGCAAGCGUUGUCCGGAAUUAUUGGGCGUAAAGAGCUCGUAGGCGGUUUGUCGCGUCGGCUGUGAAAACUCGGGGCUCAACCCCGAGCCUGCAGUCGAUACGGGCAGACUAGAGUGCGGUAGGGGAGACUGGAAUUCCUGGUGUAGCGGUGAAAUGCGCAGAUAUCAGGAGGGACACCGGUGGCGAAGGCGGGUCUCUGGGCCGUAACUGACGCUGAGGAGCGAAAGCGUGGGGAGCAAACAGGAUUAGAUACCCUGGUAGUCCACGCCGUAAACGGUGGGUGCUAGGUGUAGGUCGUAUUCCCACGCGAUCUGUGCGCAGCUACGCAUAGACACCCGCCGUCGGGUAGGUACGGCCGCGAGGACGUAAACGUUAAAGGUAAAGUUAGUAACGGUCGUGAGACGUGCCGAACGGACGACGACGAGGGAGGAGG
rnacentral:rRNA from 1 species